rnacentral:rRNA from 1 species
ACGGGGGGUGCGAGCGUUGUCCGGAAUCACUGGGCGUAAAGGGCGCGUAGGUGGUUUGAUAAGGGUGUGGUGAAAGCCCGGGGCUCAACCCCGGGUCGGCCGUGGCAACUGUCGAGCUGGAGCACUGUAGAGGCAGGUGGAAUUCCGGGUGUAGCGGUGGAAUGCGUAGAGAUCCGGAAGAACACCGGCGGCGAAGGCGGCUCGCUGGGCCAUUGCUGACGCUGAGGCGCGAAAGCGUGGGGAGCGAACAGGA